rnacentral:rRNA from 1 species
AGAGUUUGAUUCUGGCUCAGAACGAACGCUGGCGGCGUGGAUAAGACAUGCAAGUCGAGCGAGAGCUUGCGGGUAGCAAUAUCUUCAAGUUCUAGCGGCGAAAGGGUGCGUAACACGUGGGUAAUCUACCGUGAAGUUCGGAAUAACUUGCCGAAAGGGAAGCUAAUGCCGGAUGUGAUCGCGACGGGACAUCCCGUCGAGAUUAAAGCUGGGGAUCCUUCGGGACCUGGCGUUUCACGAUGAACCCGCGGCCUAUCAGCUUGUUGGUGAGGUAACGGCUCACCAAGGCGACGACGGGUAGCUGGUCUGAGAGGACGAUCAGCCACACUGGAACUGAGACACGGUCCAGACACCUACGGGUGGCAGCAGUCGAGAAUCUUUCACAAUGGGCGAAAGCCUGAUGGAGCGACGCCGCGUGGGGAAGAAUGGCUUCGGCCCGUAAACCCCUGUCAUUCGCGAGCAAUGCUUACGUCUUAAUAGGAUGUAAGUUGAUAGUAGCGAAAGAGGAAGGGACGGCUAACUCUGUGCCAGCAGCCGCGGUAAUACAGAGGUCCCAAGCGUUGUUCGGAUUCACUGGGCGUAAAGCGUGCGUAGGUGGCCAGAUAAGUUCGGUGUGAAAGCUCCGGGCUCAACUCGGAAAGGUCAUCGAAAACUAUUUGGCUGGAGGAUUGGAUGGGAGACUGGAAUUCUCGGUGUAGCAGUGAAAUGCGUAGAUAUCGAGAGGAACAUCAGUGGCGAAGGCGAGUCUCUGGACAAUUCCUGACACUGAGGCACGAAAGCUAGGGGAGCAAACAGGAUUAGAUACCCUGGUAGUCCUAGCCGUAAACGGUGCACACUUGCUGUGGGCGGAAUCGACCCCGUCCGUGGCGUAGCUAACGCGUUAAGUGUGCCGCCUGGGGAGUACGGUCGCAAGACUAAAACUCAAAGAAAUUGACGGGGGCCUGCACAAGCGGUGGAGUAUGUGGCUUAAUUCGAUGCAACGCGAAGAACCUUACCUGGCCUUGACAUGCAAGUGGUAAAAGCCUGAAAGGGUGAUAACCCCGCAAGGGGAGCUUGCACAGGUGCUGCAUGGCUGUCGUCAGCUCGUGUCGUGAGAUGUUGGGUUAAGUCCCGCAACGAGCGCAACCCCUGUGUCCUGUUGCCACUUCCGCUAGCGCGGAAAGCACUCUGGACAGACUGCCUCGCUUAAACGAGGAGGAAGGUGGGGAUGACGUCAAGUCAGUAUGGCCCUUACGGCCAGGGCUGCACACGUACUACAAUGCCUAGUACAGAGGGCUGCGAGACCGCAAGGUGGAGCAAAUCCCUUAAAACUAGGCCCAGUUCAGAUUGUCGUCUGCAAUUCGACGGCAUGAAGCCGGAAUCGCUAGUAAUGGCGUAUCAGCUACGACGCCGUGAAUACGUUCCCAGGCCUUGUACACACCGCCCGUCACAUCAUGAAAGCCGGUUGUACCCGAAGUCGCCGUGCCAACCCUCAGGAGGCAGGCGCCGAAGGUAUGACUGGUGAUUGGGAUGAAGUCGAAACAAGGUA